AAAUAAUUUUCUUAAAAAUUGCUAUUUUUGGAAAGUUUUCAUUUCUUAGAGAACUUUUAUAUAUUUGAGUUUGUAAUUUAGAAACUAGGAUAGCAAGAAUAUUAGUGUAUAGAUGAGUAUUAUUUCAGAAUUUUUCAUCAAUAUGUUGUAUUUUUAAAUAAUUUUCUUAAAAGCUACUAUUUUUGGAAAGUUUUUUUUUUAGAGAAAUUUUAAAGAUUUGGGUUUGUGAUUUAGAAAUUAGGAUAACAAAUAUAUUUGAGGAUAGAUGAGUAUUUUUUGAGAGUUUUUUAUCAAUAUAUUGUUUUUUUAAAUAAUUUUCUUAAAACCUGCUAUUUUUGGAAAGUUUUUAUUUUUAAGAGAACUUUUAUAUAUUUAAGUUUGUGAUUUAGAAAUUAGGAUAACAUGAAUAUUUGUGGAUAAAUGAGUAUUCUUUCAGAGUUUUUCAUCAAUAUAUUGUAUUUUAAAAUAAUUUUCUUUAAAACUACUAUAUUUGGAAAGUUUUUAUUUUUUAGAGAACUUUUAUAGAUUUCAGUUUGUGAUUUAGAAAUUAGGAUAACAAGAAUAUUUGUGGAUAUAUGAAUAUUCUUUCAGAUUUUUUCAUCAAUAUAUUGUAUUUUUAAAUAAUUUUCCUAAAAACUUGCUAUUUUUGGAAAGUUUUAAUGUUAUAGAGAAACUUUAUAGAUUUGGGUUUGUGAUUUAGAAAUUAGGAUAACAAGAAUAUUUGUGUUUAGAUUAGUAUUCUUUUGGAAUUUUUCAUGAAUAAGUUGUAUUUUUAAAUAAUUUUCUUAAAAACUGCUAUUUUUGCAAAGUUUUCAUUUUUUAGAGAACUUUUAUACAUUUGAUUUUGUGAUUUAGACAUUAGGAUUACAAGAAUAUUUGUGGAUAGAUGAGUAUUCUUUCAGAGUUUUUCAUCAAUAUAUUGUAUUUUUAAAUAAUUUUCUUAAAAGCUGCUAUUUUUGAAAAGUUUUUAUUUCUUAGAAAACUUUUAUAGAUUUGAGUUUGUGAUUUUCAAAUAAGGAUAACAAGAAUAUUUGUGGAUAGAUGAGUAUUCUUUCAGAGUUUUUCAUCAAUAUAUUGUAUUUUUAAAUAAUUUUCUUAAAAGCUGCUAUUUUUGAAAAGUUUUUAUUUCUUAGAAAACUUUUAUAGAUUUGAGUUUGUGAUUUUCAAAUAAGGAUAACAAGAAUAUUUGUGGAUAGAUGAGUAUUCUUUCAGAGUUUUUCGUCAAUAUAUUGUUUUUAAAAAUAACUAUCUUAAAAGCUGCUAUUUUUGGAAAGUUUUCAUUUUUUAGAGAACUUUUAUGGAUUUCGGUUUGUAUUUUAAAAAUUAGGAUAACAAAUAUAUGUGUGGAUAGAUGAGUAUGCUUUCAUAAUUUUUCAUGAAUAAGUUGUAUAUCUUUCAGAGUUUUUCAUGAAUAAGUUGUAUUUUUAAAUAAUUUUCUUAAAAACUGCUAUUUUUGGAAAGUUUUCAUUUUUUAGAGAAAUUUUAUAGAUUUGGGUUUGUGAUUUACACAUUAGGAUAACAAAUAUAUUUAUGGAUAGAUGAGUAUUCUUUCAGAAUUUUUCAUCAUUAUAUUAUUUUUUUAAAUAAUUAUCUUAAAAGCUGUUAUUUUUGGAAAGUUUUCAUUUUUUAGAGAACUUUUAUAGAUUUGGGUUUGUGAUUUAGAAAUUUGGAUAACAAAUAUAUUUAUGGAUAAAUGAGUAUGCUUUCAAACAUUUUCAUGAAUAAGUUGUAUUUUUAAAUAAUUUUCUUAAAAUUUGCUAUUUUGGAAAGUUUUCAUUUUUUUAGAGAACUUUUAUAGAUUUGAGUUUGUGAUUUAGAAAUUAGGAUAACAAGAAUAUUUGUGGAUAUAUUAAUAUUCUUUCAGAAUUUUUCAUCAAUAUAUUGUAUUUUAAAUAUUUUUCUUAAAAACUGCUAUUUUUGGACAGUUUUCAUUUCUUAGAGAACUUUUAUAGAUUAGAGUUUGUGAUUUUCAAAUAAGGAUAACAAGAAUAUUUGUGGAUUGAUGAGUAUGCUUUCAGAAUUGUUCAUGAAUAAGUUGUAUUCUUAAAUAAUUUUCUUAAAAACUGCUAUUUUUGAAAAGUUUUCAUUUUUUAAAGAAAUUUUAUAGAUUUGGGUUUGUGAUUUAGAAAUUAGGAUAACAAAUAUAUUUGUGGAUAAAUGAGUAUUCUUUCAGAUUUUUUCAUCAACAUAUUGUAUUUUUAAAUAAUUUUCUUCAAACCUGCUAUUUUUGGAAAGUUUUCAUUUUUAAGAGAACUUUUUAUAGAUUUGAGUUUGUGAUUUAGAUUUUAGGAUAACAAGAAUAUUUUUGGAUAGAUGAGUAUUCUUUCAGAAUUUUUCAUCAUUAUAUUGUAUUUUUAAAUAAUUUUCUUAAAAUCUGCUAUUUUGGGAAAGUUUUCAUUUUUAUGAGAACUUUUUUAGAUUUGGGUUUGUGAUUUAGAAAUUAGGAUAACAAAUAUAUUUGUGGAUAGAUGAGUAUUCUUUCAGAAUUUUUCAUCAUUAUAUUGUAUUUU
rnacentral:lncRNA from 1 species